rnacentral:rRNA from 1 species
UACAGAGGGUGCAAACGUUGCUCGGAAUUAUUGGGCGUAAAGCGCGUGUAGGCGGCUUGUUAAGUUGGUCGUGAAAGCCCAUGGCUCAACCAUGGAGGUGCAACCAAAACUGGCAAGCUUGAGUUCUGAAGAGGAUGGCGGAAUUCCCAGUGUAGAGGUGAAAUUCGUAGAUAUUGGGAGGAACAUCGGUGGCGAAGGCGGCCAUCUGGGAAGCGACUGACGCUGAGACGCGAAAGCGUGGGUAGCAAACAGG